UAUUCCUGCAUUGCAGGGGGUUGGACUAGAUGAUCCUCAGGGUCCCUUCCAACUCUGCAAUUCUAUGAUCAUAUGAUUCUCACAGUGCAAUGUUGAAUUCCACUCUUUGAUUUUCUUGCCAAAUGUUACACAGAAUAAUAGAAUCAUAGAGUUGGAAGGGGCCACAGGGGUCACCUAGUCCAACCCACUGUAAUACAGGAAUA